rnacentral:rRNA from 1 species
UACAGAGGGUGCGAGCGUUAAUCGGAAUUACUGGGCGUAAAGCGUGCGUAGACGGUUUUGUAAGUCGGAUGUGAAAUCCCCGGGCUCAACCUGGGAAUUGCAUUCGAGACUGCAAGGCUUGGGUGCGGAAGAGGGAAGCGGAAUUUCCGGUGUAGCGGUGAAAUGCGCAGAUAUCAGGAGGAACACCGGUGGCGAAGGCGGUUCUCUGGGCCUGUUCUGACGCUGAGGAGCGAAAGCGUGGGGAGCAAACAGG